rnacentral:tRNA from 1 species
GCCCCUAUAGCUCAGCUGGUUAGAGCAGCGUCCUUUUAAGUCGCGGGUCCUGGGUUCGAGCCCCAGUGGGGGUA